rnacentral:rRNA from 1 species
CAAUAGCGUAUAUUAAAGUUGUUGCAGUUAAAAAGCUCGUAGUUGAAUUUCUGGCGGGCGCGCCGGUCUUCCAAGUGUUGUACUGGGCGCAGUCCGCCAUCCUUGUGGAGAGGGCUCGCAUUGAGUUGCGUGUCGGAUCUGCAUCAUUUACUGUGAAAAAAUUAGAGUGUUCAAAGCAGGCUUUCGCUUGAAUACAUUAGCAUGGAAUAAUAAGAUAGGACUUUGGUGCUAUUUUGUUGGUUGAGCCUAAAGUAAUGAUUAAUAGGGAUAGUUGGGGGCACCUGUAUUGCGUUGUCAGAGGUGAAAUUCUUGGAUUUACGCAAGACAAACAGCUGCGAAAGCGUCUGCCAAGGAUGUUUUCAUUAA